UUUUUUUUGGUUUUCUUCUUCUCGUAUUGAAAAAUUCUUUCUCCUUUUCGUGCUAAGAUUUUGUUCAUUUUGAUUUUCUUUCAUCUGACUUGUAUGAGCGAGAUUGUAAUUUGUGGGUUUUGUUUGCAGUGAGGACUCGUAGAUUGCAACAGAAGAAGCAUUGCUUUCUCUCAAAAGCAUGUGAUGUUGCCUUUGUAUCUUCCAUGACUCUGAUCCAAUGACCCACUGCUCCCAUCAAAAACAUCUUUUGAGUUGGAAAAUGCAUUGAACCAUAUUCGCCAUCCUAUCCGAUCCUAUCCCUCGCAUCCGUACGGUGACAAACGGAUAAGCUCAAGUCAAGUCGACAAUCAGGAUGGUGCCAAGAGUUAUUUGGAAACCUCCCUACUAACACCUGGAAAAACUUGAUUGGCGGAUUGGAUCGGACCCGACUAGGAUUGGAUUCAAAUGUCGAGAUUUAUAUACGAUCGUAGAGGUAAUUAAAUCUUCAUGAACAUGGAAGUUUCCUACUCAAUAAUUUUAUUUUGUCGGUGGUAA